rnacentral:rRNA from 1 species
AUGGCGGCGCUGCCCAUUAGAUAUUUAGGCCUCCCGAUCCCCACCGGCAAGCUUAGACUAGUGCACCUGCAGUUCAUCUUAGAUAGGAUUCGAGCACGGUUAGCGGGCUGGAAGGGCAGGCUGCUACCAAUCGCGGGCACGCGUGUGCUGGUAAGGUGCGUGCUCUCGGCCAUGCCCACUUUCGCCCUCACUGUCCUUCGAGCCCCGAAGAAGUUCUUCAAGGACGUCGACAAGGCCAGGAGGCGCUUCCUUUGGGCGCACGACGGCGAGAUCACUGGCGGAAAGUGUAAGGUGGGCUGGAAGAUGGUCACAAGACCAGAGCGCCCUGGCGGCCUGGGCAUACACGACCUGUCUGCGUUCGCCCGCGCGCUGCGGCUCCGCUGGCUCUGGCUUGCCUGGAUGCAGCCAAACCGGCCCUGGGUCGGC